CAGCCGCCGCGGUAAUACCAACCCCGCGAGUGGUCGGGACGUUUAUUGGGCCUAAAGCGUCCGUAGCCGGCCCGGUAAGUCCCUCCUUAAAGCCCACGGCUCAACAGUGGGAGCGGAGGGAUACUGCCGGGCUAGGGGGCGGGAGAGGCCGGGGGUACUCCUGGGGUAGGGGCGAAAUCCUAUAAUCCCAGGAGGACCACCAGUAGCGAAGGCGCCCGGCUAGCACGCGCCCGACGGUGAGGGACGAAAGCUGGGGGAGCAAAGGGGAUUAGAUACCCCCGUAGUCCCAGCUGUAAACGAUGCAGGCUAGGUGUUAGGCGGGCUUCGUGCCCGCCUAGUGCCGUAGGGAAGCCGUUAAGCCUGCCGCCUGGGGAGUACGGCCGCAAGGCUGAAACUUAAAGGAAUUGGCGGG
rnacentral:rRNA from 1 species